rnacentral:rRNA from 1 species
GAACCCUUUGUGAACUUAUACCUACAUCGUUGCCUCGGCGCUGGCUGCCCCUCCCUCCGGGGAGGGGGCCCUGCCCUCCGGUCGUAAAACACCUGGGGAAAAGGACAGCAGGCCCGCCGGUGGCCCAACAAACUCUUGUUUUUACCGAGUAACAUCUGAGUAAAGCUUCUAAAUAAAUUAAAACUUUCAACAACGGAUCUCUUGGUUCUGGCAUCGAUGAAGAACGCAGCGAAAUGCGAUAAGUAAUGUGAAUUGCAGAAUUCAGUGAAUCAUCGAAUCUUUGAACGCACAUUGCGCCCUCUGGUAUUCCAGAGGGCAUGCCUGUUCGAGCGUCAUUUCAACCCUCAAGCCCAGCUUGGUGUUGGGGCAUUACCUUCCCUCACGGGAGGGUAAGCCCUGAAAUUUAGUGGCGAGCUCGCCAGGACUCCGAGCGCAGUAGUAAAACCCUCGCUCUGGACUGUACUGGCGCGGCCCUGCCGUAAAACCCCCAACUUCUGAAAAUUUGACCUCGGAUCAGGUAGGAAUACCCGCUGAACUUAAGCAUAUCAAUAAGCGGAGGAAAAGAAACCAACAGGGAUUGCCCUAGUAACGGCGAGUGAAGCGGCAACAGCUCAAAUUUGAAAGCUGGCUCCGGCCCGCGUUGUAAUUUGCAGAGGAUGCUUCUGGCGAGGUGCCUUCCGAGUUCCCUGGAACGGGACGCCAUAGAGGGUGAGAGCCCCGUAUGGAUGGACACCAAACCUGUGUGAAGCUCCUUCAACGAGUCGAGUAGUUUGGGAAUGCUGCUCUAAAUGGGAGGUAAAUCUCUUCUAAAGCUAAAUACCGGCCAGAGACCGAUAGCGCACAAGUAGAGUGAUCGAAAGAUGAAAAGCACCUUGAAAAGGGGGUUAAACAGUACGUGAAAUUGUUGAAAGGGAAGCGCUUGUGACCAGACUUGCGCCGGGCAGCUCAUCAGGGGUUCUCCCCUGUGCACUCUGCCCGGCUCAGGCCAGCAUCGGUUCUCGUGGGAGGAUAAGAACGGUAGGAACGUGGCCCCCCUCCGGGGGGGUGUUAUAGCCUGCCGUACGAUACUCCCGUGGGGACCGAGGUUCGCGCUCCGCAAGGAUGCUGGCGUAAUGGUCAUCAGCGACCCGUCUUGAAACACGGACCAAGGAGUCGUCCAUUAGAGCGAGCGUUUGGGUGUAAAACCCGCACGCGUAAUGAAAGUGAACGCAGGUGAGAGCUUCGGCGCAUCAUCGACCGAUCCUGAUGUCUUCGGAUGGAUUUGAGUAAGAGUUUUAACGGACGGACCCGAAAGACAGUGAACUAUGCUUGUAUAGGGUGAAGCCAGAGGAAACUCUGGUGGAGGCUCGCAGCGGUUCUGACGUGCAAAUCGAUCGUCAAAUAUGAGCAUGGGGGCGAAAGAC